AGCGAACGCUGGCGGCAGGCCUAACACAUGCAAGUCGAACGAACUCUUCGGAGUUAGUGGCGGACGGGUGAGUAACACGUGGGAACGUGCCUUUUGGUUCGGAAUAACUCGGGGAAACUUGUGCUAAUACCGAAUGUGCCCUUCGGGGGAAAGAUUUAUCGCCAUUAGAGCGGCCCGCGUCUGAUUAGCUAGUUGGUGAGGUAACGGCUCACCAAGGCGACGAUCGGUAGCUGGUCUGAGAGGAUGACCAGCCACACUGGGACUGAGACACGGCCCAGACUCCUACGGGAGGCAGCAGUGGGGAAUCUUGCGCAAUGGGCGAAAGCCUGACGCAGCCAUGCCGCGUGAAUGAUGAAGGUCUUAGGAUUGUAAAAUUCUUUCACCGGGGACGAUAAUGACGGUACCCGGAGAAGAAGCCCCGGCUAACUUCGUG
rnacentral:rRNA from 1 species